UACGUAGGUGGCGAGCGUUAUCCGGAAUGAUUGGGCGUAAAGGGUGCGCAGGCGGGCUUUUAAGUCAGCGGUAAAAAUUCGGGGCUCAACCCCGUCCGGCCGUUGAAACUGGGGGCCUUGAGUGGGCGAGAAGAAGGCGGAAUGCGUGGUGUAGCGGUGAAAUGCAUAGAUAUCACACAGAACACCGAUUGCGAAGGCAUCUGACGAAUCGGAGAUUGACGCUGAUGCACGAAAGCGUGGGUAUCGAACAGG
rnacentral:rRNA from 1 species